AUUCCAAACAGCUGGUUCCGUGCGUGGGUUUUGUCAGCUAGUGGUACUUCAGUGGAGGGACAGGUCUCUGAACCACUGCUCUUCUGUUCCUGUGGCGUCACUUGAUCUGAUGGUGCCUGCAGACCCGUUUCCACAGAAGGACCUCUGUAACAGACCCCAUCCUGCCACUCCCCCUUGCCUCUGCAGGGCGGACCCGUCUGAGCACCUGCAUCUCUGUCUGAGCCGGGCAGGUACACUUGGCCCAGGGUGGAUGCAGGACGGCACUCACUGGCUAGAUGCUUCUGCUUCUUUGCAGAUUUGAGGCAUGUUCCUUGUGGCCUCUCAGAAAACCACAGUAGGACCAUGCCCCCUGCCCAUGCUGGUCCUUUGUUCAAGCUGACCUUUUCCGUCAAGCUUCACCUCCUCACGCCCACACUGUCCUGGAGUCCUCUCCAGGGACAGUACAAGGAAGGCACACACUCACUCAGGAUCUGUUUUUGUAGAAACCCAAACUAGCGCAGCCUCUGCCUCCAUGUCCUAAGGUUCUUAAUCCUGCUCUGGUGACGCCCAGCGCAAGGCCAGCUGGGUGACCAUCAGCAGCUUCAGUCCAGCAGGACAGACACAGGUGGGCUGGGCAGCCAGACAGGAGGCCGUCUGUGUGUCCUCACAGGGUAGGACCCUGGGUUGCUGGCAGGGCCUUGACAGCUGGGUUGCAUGUUAAUGAUGGAAACUCCUCAAAUGUGUACAGAUUGGUCACAAGGGCAACUGUCCCUUGCCUGGGGACAGAAGCAGAUGGCAGCUUGUAGGCCCUGCUCUGCAGUCCACUCAGCGCACCAGCAGUGUCUCUCCGUGCGGGCACCGUAAAAGGGAGCUCUCGGAGGAGAGGUGGACCUUUUCUUUUCAGUCUUCUCACACAAGAUCUAGACAUGUGAACCCUGUGCAGCUGGAGACGGGAGCAGGUGGUCACUCUGCUGGGCCGCGUCCCCUAGCCUCCCCUCAUCCCCUAGAGUGAGCUGGAGCCUGGGCUCUGGGGAACGACACUGAGUGACUCUCCGUUCUCCUGGUGUCCCCCUCUUGACUCACAGUAAGGCCAGCCGCGUCAAAGUCCUGGCAGGAGCGAGGUCCAGCUCCCUCCCAUUGUGCUGGGCUCCUGUCCUCCCCACCCUCCGGGGUCCUGAUGACCUCACGCAGGGCCUUCCACAGGACGCGGUGGCAGCUCAUCUGCCAUCAGGCUCUGUUCCGGUGUUUUCUUCAAAGCCGUGAGACUGGGUGCAGCCCUGUGACUCUGGCGGAGCUGGGAGUGAGCUGUGCUCUGGCCGGGGCCAGGCAGGGAGGCUGGACUCACAGGACUGACGCCGGCCGUGGGGCUCUGGGGAGAAGCCGUGGUCCCCCAUCACUCCUGGCCUCCUGCCCACCCGCCGCAGGUCCUGGCUGCUCACCUGAGCCAUCCUGGCCAGCGGCUUUCCUGUGGUCACCGUGGCAGGCCUCAGGGAUCUUCCUGACAGGAACCUCCGCGAGCAGGAAGGUCCCUGUGGAGCCAGGAGCUAGACUGGGCCUGGGGCUUGGGCAGGAAGAGAUGAUGGUGAAUGGCAGGUGCUGGGCACCUCAGCUCUCCCUGCCUCUUGAGAUGGGUGAGGGCAGAGUAGUGCUGGAGGCAGAAGCUCCGAAGACCCAGGCCCAGUUCCAGCUCCUGGCUCUACAGGGACCUUCCUGCAGACGAGACCAGACUGGGUCCUUCCUUCCACCAAGACUCGCAGUGUGAGGACUCGGGCUGGGACGCGUGAGCAGAAAGGCGCAGGUUGGCCUGACCCAGCCCUCCUUCGGAUGCCGUCCCCAGUGUCUGCCCUUUGCCCAGGGCCUGGGGGCCUUGUGUGGGGAUCCACAGAUCCUCACUCACUUAUCGUCAUUUGUUGACACUUGGAUGUGUCACUCAGGUGACAUGGGUCCUCCAAGGGACGCCCCACAGCUUCUCAUUCUUUGUUGCUGCUCCUAACACCCACUGACCUGCUGUGCUCUGCCCUGGAUGCAGCCACUGGUUGACCUCCUGGGCUUUCCAAUGUCAAGCUCUUCCCUGGCAGGGCUGCCUUCUCCACUGGUCACUUCCCACAAAUCCAGGCACUGACUAGGCUGCCCAGGGCCUGGGGUAGGACGUCCAGUACCUGUCAGGGUCCCAGACUUUCUUGUCCUCUGGCAUCUCCUGCAAGUGAGACCUUGAUCUUUGCAGACUGUGAUAGACCCCUCUUCUGGAGACAAGGGCUGUGGACACGAGGUUCCUGUGCAGAUUGCAUAAGGUGGGAAGUGGGAAAUCUCCGCCUGGCUCCAGAAAUCCAGCCUACCUCUGGCUUGUCGACUCAGAGGGAAUUUAGACUCCAUGCCUCAUUUUCCCAUCCAUAGGAGCGGGAGGUUUGCUGACUUCAAGCUACAAAAUUCUAGAAUGAAAACAAGUUCCCAGGAAAGAGAUACCUGCCCUAGGAGUUCAGUGAGAACCUGCAGGUAACCACAGGCGGGCGAGCAGGUGGAGGGGAGCAAGGGCCGUGUUCAAGGCCUAAAGGGGACCCCUGUUACAGUGGGAAGAGAUGCUCCCGGCACCCCAGGCAGGACGGACAGAGGACCAGCCUGAGUCACCGGAGCCUGACGACCAAGUCAAAGGCCUCUCCACCUCGCCUUCCUACGAGACCUGGGCCUGACUGCAGGAGAGGGAUCAUUGACAGUAGAGGCCAAAGGCCACAUCACAGCUUUGAAGUUUUGCAAGGAAAAGAAAAAGCCAACCCAAAGUCAUAUAAAUCCAUCAAACCUAUUCUUUAAAAAUAAGGGUAGGGAAAGCACAUUUUCGUGUCACUUCGCAGGGAGGAGGCCCCAGCAACAGAGUGGCACUGUGUGAGAGGGGCGUCCAGGUGUGCAGGAGCAGUGGCAGGCAGGCCCAGGAGGGGCAGAGCCCACGGGGCCAGGCGCGGCCAGGGGGCCUUGGAAGAAAUGCUGGAGGAGCAAGAAGGUGCUGUGGGCUCAUUGAGGUCGAAGGUUGGCGUCCGUGGAGCGCUGCUCACCCGCUGCCCCGUGGAGACUGACCAGCAUCUGCAGCAGGCGCUACAAGUAGCCGGCGAAGCAGGUGGGAAGGCAGAGGACUCCCGCUGAGGGCGCGGAGCUCUGCACCAGAUGCCAGGCCCUGGCAGGCCCCUCCCGUCCGGCCCUCCUCCUCCCACCCCUCAGUGAGCUGAGACUAGAAGAUCUUGUCCUCCUGUCCUUGAGCCGUGAGUGCAGGCUGAAGCCAAGGGGGCUCUGAGGGGCAGGAAGGCCCAUCUCACCACACAGACGCCUCGCGCACAGUGGGCCUCCUAUACCAAAAGCCUGGGUUGGUUUUGCUGGCAAAGGAGAAGCACAGGGAGCUCCUAUCCCCAAGGCUGUCAUCGUAUCCAUCUACAGGAAGCAGGAUUUUAAAGGGUGAUUCAAAGGCCAACUCCCGAGUUCUCUGUCAGAGUUGUAACUCCCUGGCUAAUCUGGGAGAUCUUCGGACACCUUCGCUCAAGCCUGGAUUAAUCACCUCAUUCCAGAGGUGCCCGAGGCUGGGGCAGGAAGGCAAUCCUGUUUCUCCUGAGGUUAAGAAGGAGAAGGGAGAAAUCAGGGAGGAGCGGGGAGAGAGGAAGAGAAAGAAACACGUCCAUUUCAACAAGUCACCGUGGCAGAGCAGCAAGGGCUAUAUUCAGAGCAUAAAGUGGACCCUGUUGGAUUCUCCCACUGUCGAUUUCUACAUUCCAUUUCUAGGGAGAACUGGGUGACAACAUCUCCAAGCUGCUUCCUGGUGAAGUUGGGGAAGUGACCCCAAGUCCCGUUCUCUUAUCAGGUGGGGCCUGGACAGUCAAGGGUAUCCAGCUUUGGGGCAGUUCAGAGGUUCAUGGUGACAGUUGUCUGGUGACUGGCUAAGGCAUCCGUAGGGCCAGGGUCACGCUAGGCCAACAAUAAAGGAGAUAGCAAAGCAAUCAGUAUUCAGCCGAUCUCUGAAAACCUGAAGACAGUGACUCAUGCCCUGCCCCUGAAAACAGAUUGGGUCUGUCUGUGUAGGAGGCUGGGAGGACUGCGGUCUAGGAGACCAGGCUCAGAUGGACUCUGGAGUCCUCUGUGAUAGUUACUAUGAGACACCCCCACCCAGAACGCUUCUUUUCGAUCCUCCGCCUUAACUUACUUUUGGUAGAGUCGACUCAUUUUAAGUUACAUUUUUUAAAAAGACAUGGUUUUCCUUUUAAAUGGCCACGUAGGACGAGGCUUCGGUCAUACUCUCCGUCAGGUGCUUAAGGCCGAGUUAGUAAGAAUGGGCCUAGUUGCUCUCUGCUGGUCACUGAGGCAGCUGAGGUUUUUCAGGUCACUCUUGAGAACGCGGGAGCCCCUGAUCCUUUAGCUCUUCUCCCCCAGCCCUGCCUUCCGCCGGGGAGCCUCGGGUCUCGCUGGCCACACUGGGCUUCCCUUGGAAGCAUCCGGGGCAUUUCCGUCUCCGGUGAGCUCCCCUUGGCAGAAUGUGCACUGGUUGGCUUCCUGUCCUCCAGGGUCCUCUUAGAGGGCUCCAUUGUUCCCUGGACCCUGGAUCCUGGCUGACUCUAAAGGGCAAAGCCCAAAAUAUUGGCUGCUUUUUUCUUGGCCCUUUUACUUCCUUGACUUUGGUCCCCAUCAAGCAGGCCCGUUUCACAGUGGGAGCAGCAGCUCAUGACUUCAGUGUCUGCUUUUACAGUUGCCCUUCCAUUGAGCUGGGGUCAGUAUUCCAGCUGGAAGUCAUCACUGCAUUCUGUCUGUCCUGUGGGGUUGCUCAUGGUCCCAGACCAGCUCAGGGUGUUCUGUUACAAGUUGGACUUCUGCAAAACACUGACAGGCAGCAGUCAUACAGUUUUACAAGGAAAAUGCAAAAUGAACACUGAUCUAUCUUUGCUAUCUAUUUACACAAAGAUCCAUGUAUUUAUUAACUCAAUUAUAUUCAAGUUUUACUUUCUUUUAAAACACUUUUACAAACCCAGAUACCUUUUACAAUUUACCCCAAAUUUACUUAGGUUUUGUAUUAUAUCCCCUGUUUAUUUUGAGAUCAUAGCACUCUUUUCAGCAACAACAAAAAACCUUUCUUUUGAACACGAUUUAAAUGAGCUUGAUUCUGACCUGCUUUGGGGCCGUUCUGACAUGGAGAGGAAUGAGAGGCAGACCUUAAUUCAGUGAGGCUGGCCUCUUGACAAAUAUUCUAAGUGGUUUUUUUUUCUAAAUCUGAUCUUUGCCCUUUCAAAAUCUUGCCCUCAUUCCACAGAGUUCUUAAGUGUUGUUUUCUGAGUCUGUCUGCAUAUCAGUUAACAUGAUACGACAUUACCUCUGAAUCAUGAUCAAAGAGGCUAAGAGAGUUCUUAAUUUCCUGUUUGUGCAAAAUGUGGCAAAAUGUUUUCAUAUUUCACAUUGUCAACCUCUGAACAAAUAAGGCUCUCCUUGUUACCUUCUAAAAAUACAUUUAAAUUCCCAUCCCAGUGAAAGAAUGACGCAAAAUUUCACAUAUAACUUCAUUGAUAAUGGGUUACCUUCCUCCAGUUACAAAACAUUAAGUGUCAUAAAUAAAUACAACCAAAUGUGCUAUUUCUAUUUAAAUCUGAAGGAGACUAUGGCUACAGACAAUUUCAGUUUGGAGGACACCAACUUGAUAAGGUGCUCUCACAAGUUUUCCAUUUUAAAAGGUUUAUACACUUGAAGAAUAAGAAUGAAUCUGAUACACAAAGAAGCAGAAUGGUCAGGGUCAUCAUUACACAGACGUCCUUACAUUAAUUCAGUUGCCUUUGGAAGGAAAGUUUGAAUUCAUAUACAGUAUCAAUAAUCACAGGUCUACAUGGGUUGGCAGUACUAGCAAAGAUCAAAGGAUAGCUUUAAAUCUCUUAUACAUUUAGGAAACAGUGUUAAAGAUCAUAAAUAGACUUAGUCAAAGAAAACAGACAUAAGUCAGGUCUUUAAAUGGCAGGGUGGCCCUUUUAUGUCAGAUACAGUAUAUAAAAGAGAGCAUUUAUUCACUUAUUGUUUACCUUGCAGGUAAACCUACUAUAACUUUGAUUUUACAAACUUUUACAUAACACAUAGAAGAGGCUCAGACAAACAGUUCUCAGAUGUAUACAUUUAUAUAGUCACAUAUAUUUAGGGUAUAAAAAAUAUUGUUACAACCUAAAAUAACAGUUAUUUAUUUAACCAGGUACAAAGUAAUUAUUUAAAAGACUUUAAAGCAGGUACAAACCCUAAUUCCUUUAAGACUUAAUUUCCCUAAAUAAUAAAACUGAGAGAUACAAGAAAAUUAUCUUGAUAGAUAAGAGUAGAUUAAUGGUUCAGACUUUGCUUCAAGUUAAUCACAUACACAAACCUUUUGAGAUUUACCUUCCACCAACCUUCUGCAACUUACUCAGACACUCUACAGCUUGUUAACAUCCUUAGUUAUGUUCCUUCUUUCAUCUUGGACUUCAGCACAAGAAUAUUACUUUCCCCUACAAAAUACUUUCUUAUCCAGAAAUAUUUAUUUUUCCUUCUAGUUUUCUGUAAUAAAAUAUAUUUCCAUACCUAUAACUUUUUAAUUUUUUCUGGUUUAAGACCCUUUUUGAAAUUCACAUUCUGAAACAAUCUUUGUGAAUAUUAUCUGUGCAUUUAACUUAUACAACAAAUUUCAUCCCAGGAGAGGGAUCAGGCAAUCUGGCAUAUACAAAAAACGUGCCUUAAUUUUUUCCUCCCAGGUGGCAUUCAAGGGGUUGGAGCAAGGAGAUUUUGAGCCUGACAUGUCUCCCUUAGCAUUAUCACAGUGCCAUUGUCUUCACAUGAGUCCCCAUGUUGAUUGACCCAGCGGUUCCCUGGGGGCCUUUGUCUUGCACUAGGUAUGUUGAUAUGCUCUGGAAGAGGCCCUCUCUGUCCCUUAGGCUUCUUUGACAAUCCCUUUGCUGAGGCUGUCAACAAAACCCACGCUAUUCUUAGUUUUUUCCCCCUUUCUGGGUGCAGGUGUUUAUCCUGCCAGUCUCCCAGACAUUUAGUUUGAUGGGAUACUCUCAUAACAAGACCUGCUCUGCCCCAGUGAUGGAUAUCCCCUGGACAAAUGGGGUGUUCUGUCAGAUGUUAAAAGGGAGCCUGCUCCUGUCCCCAGGUCAUAGACUCACAGAGCUGCAACCCACUGCCCCAUUCUUUGUGGUCAGUAGCAUCCACCCCACUUCCCCAUCUGCAGAAGGAGCUGGAAGGCAGGGCAGAGGCCGGGUCCUCUCUGCCCUCCCCCAUUUUGGUUCAGCCCAGACAGCUUUCCUGGGAUUUUUUUCCCAGCACAGGGCUGGUGUCCCUGACCCACAGAAGGUCAUCCUGGCUGCCCAGGGCCAGGCUGAGUGCCAGCACUGGGCGGAAGGUUUUAAAUCUGUGUGACCCUUUCUUCUGUGUCCUGCUGCACAACAGAGGCAGUGCCUGUUGCAUCCUCAACUUGGUUUCUGACUGUCCAGACUCCUUACCAAGCAACCGCAUAAACACCAGUGCACACACUUCACCUCUGACAGACCAGCUCCACUGCAAUCCUGUAGGAUGAUUCAGAAAAAAAUUCAAAAGGCGAGAUUGCGUUACAGUGAGACGUCUUUCUCUUAGACAGGCUUGUACCUAUAGCUGGCACAUUCAGCCAAGAUCUCUCUUCCCAAGGGACUACUGGUAAGAUGGACAUAGCAUGGCCCAUGUCUUAAAGGGCAAGAAGCAGAUCCAAAAAGGAGCAGGAGAGGAUCCCUGAAACCGUGGCUCUGUCAGACAGUAACCUUUAAAACAGACGGCCAAGACCUUUCCCUAGAGACUGUAGGAUCAGCACAGUGUUGCCCCUGUCCUUAAAGGGGUAGUAACAGAUAAGAACCAAAACACAGAAAGACAACCACAGGGAAUUCCCAUACCCAAGGCCAACAAACAGAUGAAAACCUGGAACAGACCGGAAGGGAGUAAAUAUCCCUAGAUUCUCAGGUACCACUUACCCAUGACUCCUACGCCAGCAGCACCACCAAUGUCCCCACAAUGAAGGACCAGAUGUCCACACAAAGAGGAACAGACAUGUAGAAUCCAGGGUCUUACCGGGGGACUCACCAGAUGUCUGAGGGUGUUGGGACUUUUCCCAAAGUGGACCCAAUAGAGCAUGCUGUAUUGCUCAGGGAGAGAAGACCUGAGUUCCCUGAAGCAAAAGGAGCUCUGGUAGCUGCAGGGAUGGUCCCUCGGUCUCUCCCUUUGUGCGCAGGAGUCGCCCCUUCAUCGAGGCCAACUCACCUACCUUCUAACCAGCAAUGGCUCUCAACGCUCACCAGCCACCCGCAUCCUCAGCAUGGAAGUGGGAUUGCUUGGAGAGCCAGGCUGCCCAGGAAGGCCAGGGCUGCUCUCAAGUCCCAGCUGGGGUGCCAAAUGUGUACCAAAAGCUCAGUCCUUGUCCCUGAUGCCAACUCAAUAACAAGGACAAAGUUUUGAGAAAAGGGGAAGCAGUUUUACUGCUCUGCUAGCAAAGGAGAAGCACAGGGUCUCUUGUCCCGGAGGCUGGGACUCUGCCCAUCAGCAGGAACAGGGGACCUUUGAAGAGGUGAUUCCAAGGCUACAUUCCUCCCUGUUGGAGUGUAAUCCACUUGUUAAUUUGGGAGAGAGCCAUUUCUGAGAUCUUCUGGUGCCAUCCCCAAGUCUGACUCACUUUGUGCCUAUGGUGGGAGUGUGCCCAGGGACAGGUGACUCUGCCUAGGAUGGGGGAAAGGUAACCCUGUUUCCCCCAGGCCCGGGAGGGAAGGGAUUAGGAGGGGAGGGAGAGAGAAGAGAAAGAACACGCCCAGUUUAAAAAUAAGUCACAGUGGCAGAAAAGGGCUAAUUCAAAACAUAAAGUGGGUCCCUGUUUCUUCCACAAGUGACCAACUGGGGAGGCACAGGAGGCCAGCCUCAGAGGGGCACAAGGUAGCUUCUGAGGUACUCACCCAAAAUGCAGCACCUGAUCAUGAGGAGCCUCAACAAGCCUCACAGGGAGGUGACACAGGGAGGUGACACAGAGCCAUACCACACCUCGGCAGCUGGCUCUGCUGAGAAGGGCCAGGCAAGACGCUGCACUAACUGGAGGAGGCGGCGGCCAUGUGCCCUGCGUACUCGACAGUGCCCGGCUUCUGCGGACUCCAUGUUAGCAGGGCAUGGUGUUGAUUUCCUGACUUCCACGCGAGUUCAAAGUCAGCCUCAGCAACUAAGGCACUAAGCAACUCAGUGAGUCUCUAAAUAAAAUAUAAAAUAGGGCUGGGAUGUGGCUCAGUGGUUGAGUGCCCCUGGGUUUAAUCCCUGGUACCAAAAACAAAAACAAACCCACAGGUAGGCAAUUCAGACAUUUUGAGCAGUCAAAAAGGAUUUUCAGCAUCCCAUAAAAACACACAUUUCAUCACAAGUAGCACUCGUGGGUAUUCAGCAGCUGCACACUGUGUCCUCCAUUCCCACCACCCCCGGGCAGGUUGCCCUCACUGCAGAAGCUGGCCUCACUGUGGAGGCCAGCACCAGGAAGGGGCCCUGCCCACUGCUCCAUCCAGUUCUGCCAGGAAGCCCUGCCAGAAGGGGCAGUGUGGUGGGCCCUUCAGACACCACGUCAGGCCCUGGGAGCAAGAAGAGCAGAGAAAAAGCACAGACACCUCCGCUGCACAAGGAAAGGCACAGCUACUCCCCUGCAGCCCACCCUUGUGACCGCUAGUCUCCAAGGGCAAUCUAUGUGCUCACUCUUCACCACCGUGGCCACACGGCUCUGUCAUUGCAUUGCACUGCAGGAGUCUGAGGGACAUCUGAGCUGGGCCAUGGCCAGCUCUGGCUGGGGACUGUGUGCUGAGUCCACUGGCUCCGUGCCUGGCUCCAGGGUGGGACCUUGGCAGAUGCCUUCAGUCUGCCCCCGUCUCAGGCACUGGGAAACGGCACGGGGUGAGCUGAAGGAGCUGGCCUCGGGCCGCUGCCCCUGGUAGACAUCAAGCGCCUUCUGCACCGGCACUGCUUUAUGGUGGGAAUCCUGUGACAGACGCAGAGCAGGUCUACCAGGAGAUGGGAGGAAGGGGCCUGCACUCUUGGAGGCAGGGUGGAAAGGGCGUUCCAGUGGGAACACUGCCCAGCCUGCACUUGGGAGUGAGCCUAGAACACUCCCAAACUCCCUCUUCAUGAGGGAACAAGCUGAGGCCCAAAUGUUCAGGACAGUUGCUCAGGGUCCCAGUGAUGUAGGAUCCCUUAGAAUUGGAAUGUGGAUCUCUUGGCUACCCGUCCAGGGCCCCUGUAAGGACGGAGUUGCAGAAGCAAUGCCAGAGAAGAAAGAGGAAGCAGGGUGCCGUGCUAGACCGAGCUGGAGAGGGUGCCAUGGGCCCUGGGCACCACCGGGGGGGACUCCAAGCCAGCAUUCCCAUCAGCAGGUGCCACAGGCUGGUGGGCCAGCUGGCUGAGCAAGACACAGGGGAAACCUGGGGCUGGAAGGAGGGGCUUGUCUCUUUCUCCCUUUAGAGCCUUCACCAGGUCAACACUAGUCGCAGCCUGUUUUCUCAUCUCAAAAGUGGGCGUGUUGUGGUAGAUCAUUUCCAAAGUAUCCUCCAAUACUGACAUUCUGGGACAAUCCAGGCUGACUCUGAACUGGUGAGCUCUUUCUGUGUUCAGUGAACAUGGGCUCCUGCCUCUUCUGCUGGACCCCUGCCACCUCUGCAGUAACCCCUGCCACGUCCAUUGGGCCCUCUGUGACCUCCGCUAGAACCCUGCAGCUUCCACUGGAACCCUAACAUCUCUACUGGAAACCCACCACUGCCACCUCCACAGGACCCUCACCACCUCCACUGGGCCCUCUGCCCCCUCCACUGGAAUCCCACUACCUCAACUGGAACCCCAUCACCUCCACUGGGCCCUCUGCCCCCUCCACUGGAAUUCCACUACCUCCACUGGAACCCCAUCACCUCCACUGGAACCCCACCACCUCCACUGGAACCUCACCACCUCCAUAGGAACCACACCACCUUCACUGGAACCCCAUCACCUCCACUGGAACCACUGCAACCUCCACUGGAACCCCAUCACCCCCACUGGAAUCCCACCACCUCCACUGGAACUUAACCACGUCCAUAGGAACCCCACCACCUCAACUGGAACCCCAUCACCUCCACUGGAACCUCACCACCUCCACUGGAACCUCACCACCUCCACUGGAACCCCACCACCUCCACUGGAACCCCACCACCUCCACUGGAACCUCACCACCUCCAUAGGAACCACACCACCUCCACUGCAACCACACCACCUCCACUGGAAACUCACCACCUCCACUGGAACCCCAUCACCUCUACUGGAACCUCACCACCUCCACUGGAACCCCAUCACCUCUACUGGAACCUCACCACCUCCACUGGAACACUACCACCUCCACUGGAACCUCACCACCUCCAUAGGAACCACACCACCUCCACUGGAACUUAACCACGUCCAUAGGAACCCCAUCAUCUCCACUGGAACCUCACCACCUCCACUGGAACCCCAUCACCUCUACUGGAACCUCACCACCUCCACUGGAACACUACCACCUCCACUGGAACCUCACCACCUCCAUAGGAACCACACCACCUCCACUGGAACCACACCACCUCCACUGUAACUUAACCACGUCCAUAGGAACCCCACGACCUCCACUGGAACCUCAUCACCUCAACUGGAACCCACCACCUCCACUGGAACCUCACCACCUCCAUAGGAACCACACCACCUCCACUGGAACCCCAUCACCUCCACUGGAAUGCCGGCAACCUCCACUGGAACCCCUGCAACCUCCACUGGAACCCCCAUCACCUCCACUGGAACACCACCACCUCCACUGGAACCCCCACCACCUUCACUGGAACCUCAUAACCUCCACUGGAACCCCCCCACCUCCACUGGAACCCCACCACCUUCACUGGAACCCCAACACCUCUGCUGGAACCCCUGCCACCUCUACUGGAACCCUGCCACCUCUGCUAGGCACCUGCCAUCUCUGCUGGAACCCCACCACCUAUAAUGAACCCCCACCACCUCCAUUAGAAUCCUGCCACCUCCACUGGAACCCUGCCACCUCCCCUAGGCCCCCUGCCAUCUCUGCUGGAAUCCCACCACCUCCACUGAACCUUGCCACCCGCAGUGGAACCCUGCCCUCAGGCUUGGAGUUCCUGGAAGCCCCUACCUCCCUGCCUGCCUCUCCUCCCACAGGCCCUUCAGCCUCAGAAGCCUCUGUGGUUUGUCUCUGAGGCUUUGCCUCACACCACAGCUGGUGCAAGAUCCCUGGAGCCAGAGUUCCAGGAGCAAACCUGCAGCUCCUCCCACAGCAUGAGAAUCUGUGGUCUCCAGCAAGGUCAGGGCAGGGGGAGGGUUUCCUCCCCUGGGGCCGGUAUUUAUUAGUAAGUGCAGCCACCAGGGUGUUUAGGGGAUGGGGCACCCAGUGUCCUUAGGAGAACUGGGACCCAGGGCAGUUCUGCUCUGGGGCUUGGAAACCACCUGGCCACGGGAGGCCCUCUCUGCCUACAUUUGCCAUUUCUGUAGCAUAAACGGGAUUUAAUUAAAUGGUCUCUAAAAUCCCCUCUUCCCACAGUUACCAUUUCAUAUGACCUCAGAAUCUGAUAUGAUAUAUAUGAAAGUCUAGAACAUGGCACAUAUCAUACGUUC
rnacentral:lncRNA from 1 species